rnacentral:rRNA from 1 species
AUUGAACGCUGGCGGCAGGCCUAACACAUGCAAGUCGAACGGUAACAGGAAGAAGCUUGCUUCUUUGCUGACGAGUGGCGGACGGGUGAGUAAUGUCUGGGAAACUGCCUGAUGGAGGGGGAUAACUACUGGAAACGGUAGCUAAUACCGCAUAAUGUCGCAAGACCAAAGAGGGGGACCUUCGGGCCUCUUGCCAUCGGAUGUGCCCAGAUGGGAUUAGCUAGUAGGUGGGGUAACGGCUCACCUAGGCGACGAUCCCUAGCUGGUCUGAGAGGAUGACCAGCCACACUGGAACUGAGACACGGUCCAGACUCCUACGGGAGGCAGCAGUGGGGAAUAUUGCACAAUGGGCGCAAGCCUGAUGCAGCUAUGCCGCGUGUAUGAAGAAGGCCUUCGGGUUGUAAAGUACUUUCAGCGGGGAGGAAGGGAGUAAAGUUAAUACCUGUGCUCAUUGACGUUACCCGCAGAAGAAGCACCGGCUAACUCCGUG